AAUACGGACAUUAAUUUGUCACAAACGACAUUGUUCAAUUUUAAAAGUUCCGAUGUCGAUAAAUCGUUAACCGUUUGAAACGUUUCGCCGUUAUCGUUCCGAAACAAUAGUGUCUACGUUUAAACCGUGCGGCGGUUGGCCGGCGGGUAGCUGAACAUUCCGCUCGUGGUAUUAUUUUAUAUCCAGCGAGAAAUUAUUUUUAGCGAUACGAUUAUACUUAAA